AGCCCCCGUUUAAAAGCGGCGACAUACGCGAAAUAACAGGAAUACGAUUGUUUCAGUUGCCUUGGAAAUAAACGUACCGAGAGGAAGUUGUUACUGGAUUACGUAUAAAGGCCCGGACGUGUAACUCAUAAAGUUAUUUACUGUUUACCGCGACAAGCGGACGAGCCCUUCGCAACAGGAAAUGCUUUCCGCGAGAACAAGUAACAUAACUAAAAUUUCGCGUACAAUCGACGAGAAAAAGGGACCAAGGGGUUCCGUGCUACGAAAAGGUUCCGACAGGUUGCCAACCACAACCCUGCUCCACAUGUGGCCUCCACGUUUCACCCAUGACAAACUCAUACGAGACGGCGUACAUCAAACCAUAAACAUAUUCUCUCAACUAUACGUCGAGCAGCUGGUUCACAGACAAAGGUAAUAAGAAGAUUAGAAAAAGCAACAAAAACCAUUCAUGUUUAUAGUAUAAUACCUAUAAAAUGAAUAAAAUUGAACUCGAAUAGUAAAAAAG